rnacentral:lncRNA from 1 species
AUUAAAAAGGCUAGGCUUAGGCUUUUUAAAAAGCCUAUUUAAGUAAAUAGGCCAGGCUUAGGCUAUCAAAAAAGCCUAUGAAGCCUAAUAGGCCGGCCUGUUUAUGCAUGUUAGGCUUUAUAGUGGACUUUUUAAAUAGGCUUUAAAGCAUUAUAGUGAAAUAGGCUUUUAAGGCCUUAUAGUGAUAGACAAGUCUUACACUCAAAUAGGCUUUGAGGCCUAUUAAACCUAUUUAAAAGUAGAUAAAAUGGAAUGUUUAGUGAGGCCUAUUAAACCUAUUUAAAAGUAGGCCUGUAAAUAGGCUUUCAGGCCAGGCCAGGCUUUUAAAUAGGCCAGGCCAGGCCAAAAAAAUAGGCCUAUGAAAG